GACACACGUGCAAUGUAAGGACGUUUCUGGGCUGGGGGAGAAUCAGAGCUGCAAAUGUUGGCAAUAUAGAUUCAAGCUGCACGUGCUACCUAAACAGCUUGUGUCAGUGCCAGAUAUUUAACCCACUGAGAGAGCCCAGGGAAAAACCAGCAUCCUCGGGGACACUCUAUAGGGUUCUUUUUCUGUUUUCAGGACCUCACUCAAGGCAUAUGGAAGUUCCCAGGCUAGGGGUCAAAUCAGAGUCAGGUCAGGGAUGAACCCAAAUGCUCAUGGGUACUAGUCAGAUUUGUUUCCACUCUGCCACAAGGGGAACUCCGUACAUUGAGUUCUUAAUGCACUGAGCCACAACAGGUACUUCAGAAAAAGAUUAAAAAAAAAAAAGAAUACUUUCUGCUUGAAGCAAUCUUAUAUUUAUGAACCAAACAUUUUCAUAGAUACGGUGUGAUGACCAAUUAUCUGAUUGACUUCUAACCAAAUAUGUGCUAUUUGGAAUGUGUUAUAGUUGAUACUUCAACUCUACUAUUAUGGGUGAUUUUGAUAUAAAACUCAUCCAAAAGUGAAAACACAGAACAUACUCCUGAGAAGCUUCAGGUUAAAAAGGACACAUUUAGAAAAGGAUGGUUCUUCAGGAAUCAAAGAAGAAUGAAGACUUUUAAUGAUUGUGGGGUAUAAUCUGUAUUCCACUAUGCAUUAAUUUACUGAAGAAUUCUAUGAGUAAUUAGACAUAUUCCCUUAUAGCACUGAUAAGGGUAAAAUACACGUAACAUUUGCAUGUUAGUUCCUACCAAACUAAGGAUAUAAUGAAGUAAAUUCGAGGGUACAUUUAGGAAGGUGAAUUAUGCUUUGAUACAGUUACUUAGUCUGAACUUUCUAGGGUCAUGUUCCAAGGUUCCAUGGGAUUGGACAUUUGAAAGCAGAAAACAUACACUAUCUGUCCCCACUUCUCCUAGAAUGUUGGCAGCAAAUUCCAGUGUUUCCACGACUCUCCUCACUCACUUCUGAUUAGAUGAAGUAACAGAGCGUGAAAAAAGACCUUAACAAAGAGUUACUCAGAAAUGUGCACAGCCUUUCCUAGGACACAAAACCAAUGGAAAAAGAGCCAGGUGGGAGUUCCUGCCAUGGCUCAACAGAAAUGAAUCUGACUAGUAUACAUGAGGACAUGGAUUCAAUCCCUAGCCCCGCUCAGUGGGCUAAGGAUGUGGUGUUUCCAAGAGGUGUGGUUUAGGUCACGAACUCAGCUCGGAUCCCAAAUUGCUAUGGAUGCAGUGUAGGCUGGCAGCUACAGCUCUGAUUUGACCCUUAGCCUGGGAACUUCCAUGUGCACUGGGUGUAGCCCUAAAAGAGGUAGAAAAAAAAAAUAGUAAAACAACAGCCAGGACAUUCAGGUCCUCACAGGUCAAGACCAGGGUUCUGGCUCUCCAUGUGGAUGUGAGAAUCCUCAAUGGUGAAGGAAAACACAUGGACAACUACGGAACACAGAUUUAUGCAGCAGAUGUCACUCUAAGACAGUGACCAAAAUAAACCCAUGUUUCUCAAAAAUCAGUGCCAUUGAAGCACAUCUUCCCAAAGCCUAUUGUAAGGUUCCUGUGUCAUCUGCUUCAUCCAUGCAUACAUACCUGGCUGUAUGGCUACUGUCUCCAUUCCCUUCACAUCCCAGGGAUCUUUCUUUUGCUCUAACAGGCGAACCAGGUCUGGCAUAGAGAUAACAUACUCUGUGAAAGAGAUGGCAUUGUGGAAUGGUAAAAUAUUCUAGGCAUUAAGUUCCUGAAAUACUUCCUUUUCAAAGCACAUUUCAGACCCUAAGUGACAGGUAAAAAUCGGUUCCUCUGUUCCCCGUCUAAGUACUACUGAGUCAAAAGUGAAGGGUACAAAGUUGAUUUUAAGAGGGAGGCAGCACUCUUUUAUACAUGUGAACUUCCACAACUGCAAAUAAUCUAAAGUGAAGGAGGCAGAUUACCUCAAGGAGUUCGGUUAGAACGAGGGUGCCUCAUUAUGAAGCCUUUCUACCUGCACCCACCAACUCUCAAUUACUCCUAAAAUGGUGGGGUCUGAAAAUCUCUUGUGUGGUCAAGAAAAUGGCAGAGACAUCCUGCAAAUGCAGGAUCCCACACCCAGUGGGGAGAAAAGGAAUUCUGGAAGGAAGGGGUCCUCACCCAAGGAGACCAGGUGCCUAUAGAUCUCUAUCAUCACAUCUCUGUACAAGUCCCGUUGACCGAGGUCCAGACAUUCCCACUCCUCUGGAAAGAAAUCGAUGGCCACAUCCUUGACUGUCAGAAGGCUCUGAAAUGGAAAGGGCACAUACCAUGGGCCAAAGCUGAGGUCAUUAUGUGACUCAAGAUGAAAGCAGCAAGUCAAAAGAAAUGCUUUGAAUGUUUUUAAUGUCUUGAAACAUUCAAUAAUAUAUAUUUGAAACAGUAGUAUUCUCUACCAUAUUUCUACCUCCCUUAAAGGGGAUGACACAUGAUCCAUAAAACAGCUAUACAAAGUGAACUUCAUGGAACAGUAAUUAGAAAAUGAUGAUAUCUGCACAGACACAAGCAUUUUUGAGUGUUUAUACUAGGUAAAAUGUGUGUAUAUCUCAGAGGGAAAAUCCACAGUGAGAACUAUGUCUAGAUACUCAUGUUGCAACAUAAGAAAGGGUGGGUGAAAAACUGUAAUUGUAAUGUAUACAUGUAAGGAUAACCUGACCCCCUAGCUGUACAGUGGGAAAAGAAAAUAAAAAAAUAAAUAAAAUAAAAAAAAUUUUUAAAAAAAACUGAUUCUCAUGCAGGCAUUCUGGGAUGGGGCCUAUGGGUCUACUUUAUAACAAACUCGUGUUUAGCUAAUGAUGCUACUAAUGAUACUCUGAUUCAUGAGCCACAAUUCAAUACCACAGACAUAGGAAGGAAAGGUAAGAAUUCACGGUUAACUUGGAACUGAAAGUGUUUAUGGAUUUUAUGCAUUUAAUAGAAUAAUAAGCAUAACAGUACCAUUGGUUUUGUCCAUUUACUACGUACUGUAUACUGAACAUUUUUAAAAAGUAGUGAACACAUCACAUAAAUAUUUAAGAAAAAUAUUACUAUUCCACUUUUUAUUUUGUGAAACUGUCAAGAAACUUGAGAGUAUGGGUUUGACUCCCAUAAACUAAAAUUCAUCUCAAGAGAACAUUGAAAAACACAUAACGACAACCCUCAUGUAUGCUUAUAGCACUUUCUUUAGCUGGAAGAAUAAUGGAAUCCAGACAAUGUGGAUCAAAUACUGUUGACAUUUCAUGCACACAGACUGUACAUUUCAAUGGGCACUUAGUACAUAUUAAAGGAGACACAGAGGAAAAUACCCAUGUCAGUGACAUCAAGAUCAUAUGUAAGUAAAUUUGAUAAACUGACUUUCUAAAUGACACUCAUAAUAUGGUAGGGUGAGACCAUAUGAAUGAUAUAAAUUCGUACUAUCAUUUUCAAUCAUUUCUUAGUGUGAAAAUCUUUAUACUUUGUGCUGAGCUAUGUGUUAGGAACUGAAUACGACUGAAUAUAUUUUACUAGUAGAAUCCUUUGGAAGAAAACAAGUGAAGAUUACAUUUAUAAUGGGUGUGUGUGUGUGGAGUAUAAUGAAAACUAUCAGAACCUAGGCUUGACUGAUGACAACCUCCACUUACAAAAGGUACAACCUCUACUCAACUCAGUUGAGAGUUCAUAGUUCAAAACCAGCAUCAAGGAAAGAGAAACUAAAAAGAUAUGGCAUUUCCACAUUGACUGAGAUGGCUUCUCCAUACCACUUACUAAAUAUUUCCAAGACCCUUUUGAAGUGGAAAAUUACAUGAAGGUCUUAGUGCUGGAAUCUCAAAGAAAGCACCCAAAGCAAUAAAGAUCAGGUGUUAAUAGGAUAAAUGCAUAGCAGGUGACCAAAGCACACAAAAAAAGGACAUAUUAUCAUUGCUUGGGCAUUACUUGCCAAAACAAGGAAAUCAUCUUCUCAAUCUGAGACAUCAACAUGGGAAUUAUGAAAAAUGUUAGUCUAAUUUUACACAAAUUUCAAACCAUAAACUUCCCAUAUUGUAUAAACCUCCCAUAUUCUGUCUUCCUACUACUUCAUUAAGAGUCAGCCCUUUGUAACAACAUGGAGAACAGUCUCUGAGAUUUUUGUUCCCUUGGAAUCUUAUGAGGGAUUCAAGCCUACUAAGGUCACCCUGUUUAUUUCUGCAUUUUCUUAAUCUCAUUCCAAAUAGAAUAUGUUGCAUCCAGAUGUAAAAUAAUCAAUACGUUUUCACUGGCUUCCCUCAAACCACAACAUGGAACCCAUUCCAAGGGGAGCUUGGUUACCAAUGCCUUCCCAUGUUGAGGUCUCACCAAGGGAAUAAUUUCAACCCUUGACAGGUAAUGAUUCAUGGCAAUUCAGGUUGAACAGGGAGCCUGGAUGCAGACAAGGGUAAAAAGGCUCUGGGGCAGAGUGACAGCCUUUUUAAGAGCUGAUCAUGACUCAGUGUACAAGAAAAAGGUAUUUGAGAACAACCUCACCAGGCAAGAAUAUCAGAAGGAGAGAAUUCAUGAUUCUCACAUUCUCAAUUCAUGGCAUUUCAGGAGGAAAAGCAGACACAGACUCCAACCUAGGACAGGACGGUUACCUGAGAAGCUGCCAUUUCCUCCUCUUCUUCCUCCAGCUCUGCGUCACUUUCUCAUCGGUACUGUGUGGACGAAUUACAUCAGCAUCUUGAGAAUACACCAUCAUAGGCAAAAGCUAUCUCCCCUGUGCCCACCACACCCACAAGCUGUAAGACCAAGGCCAACUUUGAAAUGUUGAAAAGGCCAAACUCUCCUCACUUUGUCUCAGAAAAGAUUCAGGAACAGUCCCUUCCUACAUGGAGAACAAAGUGAGAUUGUUCCUGCUUGGAUACAUGUGUUCAUCCCCAUACAGAUGUCCCAACAUUCGGCUCACAUAGGGUAUGGGGGCCGCACUGACUUUUCCCUUCAAAAGCCCUAUGGGGCAGACUCUCUUGCCUCUCUUUGGGCUAAAGCUUGCUUGGAACACACACAAACAUAUGCAGGAGCUCACAUGCUCACGUCCUUGGCCUCACCUUACAAUCAUCUGGAGCUGUUAAUGAAACAACACUGAUGCUCCCGGAGGACCAAGAGACAGAGUUUUUGGAGCACACACAUGAUGCUAUUUCUUAAUACUGGUAAUGGGAUCCAAUCAAGGCUGUAUGAAGUUUUGCUCUAAGAAUCCUUCCAAAAUGACCCAGAGUCCUUAGCCCUUUUCGUCUCCUUCCUUCCCAGGGCCACAGGGAUUCACAAAAUUGUUUCCCUUAUAACCACCUGCUUGCAGGUAAGGGAGCCUCCAUCUUCAGAGAUCAGGAGCUUGAAACUGUUUCCAUCAUAGAAACAGCUUCUAUUCUUUGUGUGAAACCCAAAAGAGCCAAAGGGAUCCUCAGAGAGGAGAACAGGCUGGAGCCAUCUCUCACCCUGACUUCACACUAUACGGUGAAGCUUCAGUCACCAACACAGGGUGACACGGGCAGCAAAACAGGUGCCCAGACCAGAGGAACACCAGAGAGUCAGAACUAAACCCCCACUGCGGGUCAGCUAACUUCACACAAGGGGACAAGGACACAUCACAGGGGAAGGACAGUCUCCACUGGGAAGGGUGCUGGGAAACCUGGCCUCCACCUACCACACACUAUCUCUACCACACACAAAUCCAACCAAAAACCCAGUUUUCCACAUGGAGCCCCUCUUGUGUCCUCUGAAGACAGACACCCUUGGCAGUCAGUCCCACCCAGGAAGAUCUCCCCACAUUUUCCCAGUUCUCCUCACAUUGUCCUCCCAGGGUCACCUCGGUUGUGAGCAAACCAGCUCCUGUCUGCACAGACACAGCCCCCUGAGGUCCUGAAGCCAAAACCCCCGUGAAUCCAAAGAUGAUGGAGCUUUGAUAGCAGAGAGGGGGGCCACCGGUUCCAGCUGGAGCCCAGGGGGAGCCAGAGUAGACACAACCCCUCCUAGCUGCCUGCAGAGCCUCACCCACCAGGCCCCUGAAGGCACCCUGGGUCACAGAGGAGGGCUCGCCCCCUCCCAGCCCCUGACCCCACCUCCCCUCUGUGGGAAGUGUAGGCCAUGCCCCCUCCUCAGAGUCACUGGACACAGCACCCCCUCUUGGCACAACACAUGAAUCCCUUCCACUUUAGAUAAUCACACUGCCAAGGAGACAAUAUCCCACCACCUCCCCAAAAGAUUAAGAAUGACUCUUCAGACCAUCUGGCAUGAAAUGAACACAGGCACAACUUUACAACUUACACCCAAUUCACUCACAAGCACUCACAGACAACUUUCAAUGCAAAACUAUUAAAAGUAUACUAUACAGAAGAAAAUCACCAUGAGCUUAGGUUGGGACAUGGUGCUCAUGAGCUUUCAGUUUUCGCACACAACACAAAAAGGCAGACCAGGAAGAAAAAUGAGGAACACUGUGGACUUUAUAAAAUUAAAAAUUUCUACUUGGUCGGAAGACCUUCAUUUAGAAAGCCAAAAGACAAGUAUCACUCAACUAUACUGCCUACUGCCCCUUCAUAAGCCCUCUGCACCCUAGGCUUCCCUCUGCUUCCAUCUCAAAGUACCUUCUCUGUCAUAUUUGAUAGGUU
rnacentral:lncRNA from 1 species